CACACACCUGUACCUUAUGAAUAUUUUGGAAGACUGCUCCUGUUUGCCGGGUAACUUGAUGCCGAAUCUGAGAGGACCAAGCAGAAACUCGACAGGAUAAACAAUAUACUGCAUAGGAGAUCUGUCAAAAUCUGCACUAAAGAUAAAGUCAACCUAUAAAAUGGGGUGUUGUUGUUGCCAUCAUGGAGAGUUCGAUAUGAAUGAAGAUGUGCAAGAAGAAGAAGACAAUGUUAAAUUAGAAGACUUCUUUCACACAACAUACAACUAUCCAAUCGUGGUACCGGAUAUAAAAAUCAGGUUGAAAGAGACUGAUCAACAUCGUAUUGUUACAAGAAGUUCGUCUGUGGACCCAGUCACAGAGAAUAUGGAUAACCUGGAUAUUCUGCCACAUCUGGAGAUGCCUCAAAUAAAUCCUUACCCCAACGCCCCUCCUCCUCCAGCAGUACCCACGUAAUAUAUCAUUGCUAACAAAGCACCAUCUAUUGUACAAUUGUGUAUAUUUACUAUGUUGAUUAACGAAUUUGAUAUCUUAAUCGGUUCUCUCAGUGUUCAUUAUCUGUCGGUUAUGACCUUUCGUUUUUUCGGUCGCAAAUUCGCUACGAUUGUGGCCAACUUUCCCCAUGUAUUUUGAGUACAUUUUUAUAUAAUAUAUUUUUUUAAUGAUUUUAUUCAUGUUUUGAACUUAAGCCUAUGAAUAUUGAUUUACAAUGUAUAAUAUGAAUUAUUUUCAUUUGUUUGGUGCCAUUCUGUGUUUUCAACAGUACCGUCAUCAUUUCAUUAAAGACUACUAUUCAAA